ACGAGUGGCAAGAGCGGAGAGGAAAUACCUGUCAAGCAUGCCGAACACAGAAGUCAAGCUCUCGAGCGCCGAAGAUAGUUGGCAAGACGCCUGCGAAAAUAGGACGUUGCUCGGC
rnacentral:rRNA from 1 species